CCUACGGGAGGCAGCAGUGAGGAAUAUUGGUCAAUGGACGCAAGUCUGAACCAGCCAUGCCGCGUGCAGGAAGACGGCUCUAUGAGUUUUAAACUGCUUUUGUACGAGGGUAAAGGCAGAUACGCGUAUCUGUCUGAAAGUAUCGUACGAAUAAGGAUCGGCUAACUCCGUGCCAGCCGCCGCGGUAAUACGGAGGAGUCAAGCUUUAUCCGGAUUUAUUGGGUUUAAAGGGUGCGUAGGCGGUCGGAUAAGUUAGAGGUGAAAUCCCGGGGCUCAACUUCGGAAUUGCCUCUGAUACUGGUCGGCUAGAGAGUAGUUGCGGUAGGCGGAAUGUAUGGUGUAGCGGUGAAAUGCGUAGAGAUCAUACAGAACACCGAUUGCGAAGGCAGCUUACCAAGCUACAUCUGACGUUGAGGCACGAAAGCGUGGGGAGCAAACAGGAUUAGAUACCCCAGUAGUC
rnacentral:rRNA from 1 species